UCUCUCUUUCUCCUUCUCUCCGUCUCUCUCUCUAUCUCUCUCUCCCUCCCUCCCUCCCUCCCUCUCUCUCUCUCCCUUAUAAACACAAAAUGAUUUAGGGAUUUUAUGUAAAAAGGGAUCGCAUGAGAUAUUGAUUGUGUUUAAGUGGUCGAACUUAACGAAAUCAGGGCUCAUAUGCCUCCGUUUUUCUCUGAUUGUCAAACGAAAGGAAGUCGAACACAAAGGAAUCGACAUAGAUAAAAUCAACGACGUUGGCAGAAUUGAGCAUAAGGCUUUGUCGGUCGAAUUGCAGGCUGAGAUUGUCUUCGGGGUCGACUAGACCGAAGCGACGAAGGCGUGAAGAGGCAACAAAGUUUCGCUCAUUCCCAUCUGAAUGUAAGGUGCGAAGGAGGAAGGGAGGGAAGUUUGGCGUCGAGAGAGGGGGGAAAAGGUCUUUGGUCCUCAGUUGGUCCGAGACGAAGAAAUAGGAUCGAAUGUAGGAAGUGGCUCGAUGGUGGUAAUCUAUAACAAACAAGGAGCAGUCGAUCUUUGGCGAUGGUUACUAGGUCACGAGGAGGGGGAGGCAUCUCCGGUGGGGACGGUUUGUCAACAAGGAUCGACGGAAGGAUGAGAAAAGGUUCAAGUAUAGAUUGUUAGGUGAUUGGAGUUCAAACGCAGAAGGUAUCUCCUUUUUUCGUUUUGAAAGAAUCUGAUUAAGGGAAAGGGUCUCCAGCUAGUCGUUGAGGGGAAGAGCUUGAAGCACCGAUUUCAUAAAAGAAUCCUAGCAAUUACUUCUCAAACCCUCCUUAAUGAACUUAAAUCCCCAAAUCAAAACCAGAAAUUGAAGUGGAAACAGGUAAUGUGAACACCGCCCCGAUCCUCUCGUUGUGCUGACCUGGAGCCAUGGUCGUGGUCUCUCGUGCUUCCCAUUACAGCCCACCGCGACUAGUCUUCUUCUCUCUUCUUCUCUGUUGCAGGUGAAAUCCACCACCACCACAAUCACUGUGUGAUGAGUAUACCGGCUUCGUUGUGGAAGGCGAUGAUAUUGAGGUGGUUCGUUGUUCGUAGCAGGUAUUGUGGAUGGUCUGAUAGAAUUAGAUGUCGAAUCAGGCCUAAGAAAUAAAAUUAGAUGUUGAUUUCAUUCUAAUAUUACCCGAUGCUUUUUUGUUGGGUUGGUUGGAAUGUUUUAAUAUUAAUUAAUUUAUCAUAUUUUUAUAAAGUAAUUUAUAAAGCUUUUUUAUAUAA